UCGAUUCCCUUAGUAGCGGCGAGCGAAACGGGAAGAGCCCAAACCAACAAGCUUGCUUGUUGGGGUUGUAGGACACUCUAUACGGAGUUACAAAGGACGACAUUAGACGAAUCAUCUGGAAAGAUGAAUCAAAGAAGGUAAUAAUCCUGUAGUCGAAAAUGUUGUCUCUCUUGAGUGGAUCCUGAGUACGACGGAGCACGUGAAAUUCCGUCGGAAUCUGGGAGGACCAUCUCCUAAGGCUAAAUACUCUCUAGUGACCGAUAGUGAACCAGUACCGUGAGGGAAAGGUGAAAAGCACCCCGGAAGGGGAGUGAAAUAGAACCUGAAACCGUGUGCUUACAAGUAGUCAGAGCCCGUUAAUGGGUGAUGGCGUGCCUUUUGUAGAAUGAACCGGCGAGUUACGAUUUGAUGCAAGGUUAAGCAGUAAA
rnacentral:rRNA from 1 species